rnacentral:piRNA from 1 species
UGUUGGAUUGGGGUCGACGCGAAGGUUGU